UUAUUAUCUAUCUCAAACUUCAGGCAGCUUCAGCUUCAGGCAUCCAGCAUUAGCUGCGGCACUGCCUGUGUGUGGCUGUGUGGAAAGCGGAACUAGCGCCCGGUAGCACCUACGGGGGCAGAUCUAUCACAGAUCGAGGGAGGGAAACUGAGACUCGAUUCUGUGCGGCAACGUGUGAGGUAAUUGAGGGAAUCUUUUCAUAUUGAUUAGGGAUCAAGUUUGUGUCUCAAGUCUUUUGUUCUUAGAUGUUCUCUUCAGCCACAGAAUGAGUCACAACCAAAGUUCUUGGCAUGGGAAACACCCUUUUACCGAUUGGCUGGGAGGGUUCAUGGCAGGCAUCAUAUUUUAUAAAUAGACAUG
rnacentral:lncRNA from 1 species